CCGUCCCUGUAAGCUCUUGGCCUCUGAAGGCCAUCCUCUUUCUGCCCUUCUUUGGCUGCAGAUAAAACCCCCUGAAUUCUUCCACUGCCCGGAAGCUCCAUUAACCUAAGGUUGGGUGGUGAAUAUUCUCCUCCUGACAACUGCUGUUCCCCCUGAACCAGGCACUAGACGGCUGGAUAGGACUUGACAUUUCUGAGAGAGAGAUGCCAUGUGGGGCUCUUGCCCAUAGUGAUCUGAGCCUGUGGCAGGCAGAAGUUCCCAGGCCAGGGAUCGAACCCAUGCCACAGCAGUGACAACGCUGGAUCAUUAACCCGCUAGGCCACCUGGGAACUCCCAUAGGAAACUUUCUGAUGGACUGAGUCUAGACUGAAGCCUUUGGCUGGGAAAGGACACAAACAUUUCUCGAGAAGAAAUUCUCCAUGAUCAAGAGGAGGUGGCCCAGGCUAAACCGAAGGACUUAAGGGGGUUCCAGGUUUGGUCUGAUUCUGAAACAGCGUGUGUGAAUGUGAGGAUGGAAACUCUGCCUGUCUAGCCCCUUUGGCCCAGGGAGGAGGGCUGUGUCACCCCUGAGGGGGCAUUAAGUUCAGCAGUGAUGCUGAGCGGCCGACAGGAGCCGCAGCACAGAAAACCAAGGCCCCCUAGUGGGGAAUUCACCUUGUGGUCAACGGAUUGAGGACCCACCAUGGUCUCUGAGGAUGCGGGUUUGAUCCCCGGCCUUGCUCAGUGGGUUAAAGAUCCGAUGUUGCCGUGAGCUUUGGCGUAGGUCACAGGUGCGGCUCGGAUCUGGCGUUGCUGAG